CCCUGGGCUUGGCUAGGUUGCUUGGUGAGGAGGGGCCACCAUUGUGAUGACAUGGUCGCAGGGAGCAGGCGAGAAUAUGAGCUGUCCCAGUAUGCAUGCAGCCUGUGGAUUGUACAUGCUUGGACUAAAUGGACCAUUUAGAGAGAUGGUCCAUAGGUUACAGAUGUGAAGAAACAGAAAUAAACUGUUUAUCAGAGAGACUAAACAACAAUCUAGUUUUAGUCGUGGUACCUAUGUAUAAAUACACAACCAUCUUCUGAGCAAUACUGCACACAGAUGCUGUACGCACGUUCCUCAGGAUUGUCUUGUACCAACCACUGUGCUUCACUUCUGUGUCUGGAGAGCAACUGACAUAAUGAGCAUGAGCACCCUGUCGACAACUAAGAAAGUCUCCUACUGCAUAUGUGUACUACCAAAGAUGAUGCUUAACAUAGAGAAGAACAUGCAUCAGUAAGUGUAGAAAAGUCACAACUGAAUGUGUUAAUCUACCUGUGGAAUCAGAAGUAAAUUUUACAGCAUUUUUCUGAAGGUUCCUCUUGAAGAAGUCUUGUACAGGAGACUAAAGCUUCCACAGGAAGGAUCAUGAAUUUGUUACGUGCUUGCAAGCUAUGUUUCAGCAUUACAAAAUUGGCAUUUCAGAAUUGCAAAUGAAAGCAGUCCAGUUGAAAUAUCCAUUACAGAAUGUGGCAUAAUGUAUGGCUUCCAAAAUAAAGAAUAUGAUGUGGAAAAUAUCUUUAUAUAUUCAGGCAUCCUGCAUCACCAACAGGCAUCCAAAGUUGGUCCAGACUGCACCUCUGCUGCCAUCUAUCGCACAGCAACAUCACAUAGUGGAAUAUUUGCCGUGAAGUUCAACUUCUACUGCCUUACCAUCAACAUCCUUCUCUGACAUCAUGAGCCAACAUAAUAAAAUAGCAGGCAUAAGUUUUGCAGUAGCCCUUGUAUAUUGUGAGGAUCAUUAAAUUCCUUUUUCAUUAGAUACGACUUUGCUGUCUUUAACACUAGGAUAAACAUUUUCCAAAAUAGUGCCGCUUUCUUCUUCUAGUUCUUCCUUAAAUUUUUCAUUGUUUCAAAAUUCUUCAGCUAUGUCAGAGGAUACGUUUAUAGGAAGAAUGUAUUGUUCCAGGCAUUUCUGAGACAAAGAAAAUGCUCCUAGCCUUUAGUCUUAAAGGAGUUCUGAUAGCAGAUUCCUAGAUAGAUACAUUGCAGUAUCUAAAGGGCGGGGGCGGGGGUGUUAGAAAGAAGAGGAUAGAUUCUUCAGCAGGGUCUAUGAUGAUAGGACAAGGGGAAAUGGUUUCUAACUAAAAUAGGGGAGAUUUAGAUUGGAUAUAAGAUUUUUUGGGUUUUUUUACAGUAAGGUUGGUGAGGCAGUGCAACAGGUUGCCAAGAGAUAUGGUGAAUGCCCUAUCCCUGGAAACUCUCAAGAUGGGGCUGGAUGGGGCUCUGAGCAACCUGAUCUGGCUGUAGGUGUCUUUGCUUAUUGCAGGACAGUUAGACUAGGUGACUUUUAAAGAUCCCUUCCAACUCAAAUGAUUCUAUGGUUCUAUGAAAACCUUUCCUAUAUCUUUUUUCCCUCAGGGAUAUGAAUGUUGUGUACUUAUAUGUUCUAUGAGUGUUCCCUAACUCCAUUUUUUUUGUAAAGUCUUUUCGUUUUCAUUAGUUUUUAUCUGUAGGUGUAGUAAAAAUAUAUAGUACAAAAGCACAACUGAACAUGCAUAUACGCUGAAAAAAACCCAAAACAUAAACUGUGUUCCCAGCUGAUUAAUAUAGCAGAGUGAAAAGCAUAAAAUGGCACUGAUGCUUAUGAAUGGUGCUGGGAAAAUAAGCUGCAACUGAGCAAUAGCCAUUUCCCGCAAGAUAACAACCUCCUGUUUCCGUGAUGUGAUAAAGUCAGAGUACCUCAUGCUUAUUCUCUGUGUUUUUAUUUUCAUCACAUCAGUACCACCUCGUCUGAAAUUAAUUUAAUCACAGAAGAAAAAAAAAAAAAAGAAGACAAGUAAAUAAAAUGAUUUAAAACUUUUAUAUAAUUAAAGAGAGUGUUAGGAGUUCCAUGGUGAGGUACUUAUCAUAAUAGAUAACCAUCAUUACACCUGCUGUCAUUAUAACAUAUUUUAAGUGUAUAAUCAUAUUUCCUUUAAAAGUCAUGUACUAAUUUUUUUUUUUUUUUUACAAACAUAUAGUUGUCAUCUUUCUUAUAUGUAAGACUGAAUUUAUUUUAGUGAGUUCUUAUGUGAACUCUUGCUGAUCAUGUACGAUCAAUGCAAUUUUGGUUUUAUUUUCUAUGCCAGCAUAUUUUUCUUCCACACUUCAAAGAAAUCAUUCUGUGCCUCUGCAGCAGGAUUGGAGAUGAUGAGCCAGUACAGAUAUGGAAAAAUUGAAUUGAAUUUUCAAAGUAUACCUUGAAGAGAAGCACAAUUAUGUGAAGCAAUGCAUUAUUGCAGUUCUAUGAAUGUUCUCGAUGUUGUGUUGUGUGCUCCUCAGAGAGUUUUGAAACUGAUAAGAUCUAAUGAAGAAAUGAAAUUGAAGAACUGUGGACAGGUGGUAAUCACAGGCAUAGUAUUUUGGAAGGAUUACAGAGGUGACCUGUGACUGGAAAGUUAAAUUAGUAGACUGAAAUCCAGGAUAUAUGUAAGGUCUUCAAGAUAAUUAUUUUAAGGAACAAUAAACAUUUUAAAUAAAAGUAAGUUAUACAUUCUGCUUUCAGAGUGCAGAGUAACUAUAAGGACCUAUUGUAUCUUAGAAGCUGAAACCUAUAGCAUUAUGGAUUAUUUGUUUUCUCUGAGACAGAUUAAUUAACAUAUAAGAAAAGGUUAUCCAUUUGAGAGAUGCUCAUAUAUAAUGUUUUUCUUUCUGUAAUCUAAAUGGAGCUGAUUUGAAAAUGAUUAUCUUCAUAAACAGAAGCUCAGACGUACAGUGAAAGGGCAUUCUUGACAAGCAGCACCAGUGGUGUUGGCAAAAUCGGAAGAAACUGUGUUUGCUAAUGGACUAAUUCUGCAGAGGCAGCAAAGAGCAGAGAGAACUCACUUUUGUGAACUCAACAAAAUAAAGAAAGGCUUGCAUGGUUUAAAUAACGCUGCAGUGGGUUAAUUAAAAAUAGAUAUGCAAUAUCCAGCCAAUUCCUUGUAUCUAAUUCUCCUCCAAGUUCAAACUAAUGUUGAAAUAAUCAUUUUUUGUAUAAACAUGUUGAUUAAAUGCUGGAACCUAAUUUAUAAGAUAAAGGAGUUAGGAAAAGUUAGCAGUUAAUGAUGGCAAACACUUACUUCAGUGAUAAUCUCUGUUAACAGAGAAGAUACUGUGAAUUUUGAAGAAUUUGACAAGCAAAGUGGGGCUUCAGGUGCCUCCAUUUUUGGUAUCUCACUUCAAUCUCAGGUUUGGGAAUUAAAAAGAAAUAGAUGAAGUUUCAGAAAACUGUGGUGAUAUAAUCACAGGAAUACAAAGUCCAAGAAGGAAUUUCCUUUUUUUUUUUUUUUUUUUUUUUUUUUUGUUCGGUGUUAAAAUAUGUGAUAAACUCUAAUUUGUCCUUUAGAAUAUCUAUGCAAUGCUUCUGGAUUCUGAACCUGUGGAUCAAAGACACCCAUUCAGAUCUGUAUGCAGAAAUGACGUGUGUUCAAACCUUUUGAAGGGAAUUGGAUGGAGCAGGCUGCACCAAGCUAUCAUCUCCAUAGGAAAAAAUAUAUCUGAUAUGCCACAAUGAUUGAUAAAAUAUUAUGCUGAGAUGCAUAAGAAUCAAUGUCAUUGAUUCUUAAUGACAGCAAAGAUAUCCAGGAAAAAGAACUAGUAGGACAAAAUAUUAUGACAUGUACAUUAUUUAUACUUGUAUAAAAUACGGUCUUGACAGUAGGAGAACAGCUUAAUAAAGAAACAGCUUUUCUGUAACUUGUAAAGCAGACAGCCUUCUUGCCUAGCAAGAGUAUCUGGUAGCCAGCACCUCUACUACAACUUUCCUGUGUAAUUUUUCUUAGCUUCCAAGAACAAUAACUGUUGUUAUUCUGCAUCUUUUUGCAGGCUGUUACAAAGAGCAGAUAAAAGUAAAAAUAAAAAUGUGGUUUUAAUGUGGCAGACUGAACCUGUCUGAUUUAUGGCAGUUUGGAGUGUUCACUUCAUGUGCAAAAGGUGCAAGCUAAAUAUUAUCUGCCUUUUUGCAGAGCAUUUAAUUCAAUACUGGGAAAGCAGCAGUUGGCAGUCUGAUUCUCCUUACCAUAUGAUGACUAUUUCCCUCAAAUCAAAAUCAAGCUGCCAGUUCUAGAGACUCUUCUCAAAGCAAAUAGCGUCAAUAAAAGAAGUGUGGAGAAGUGAUAUGAAUAGCAGGUGUGCCAGAUCAGCCACAUCAUCAUCUGUGGGUAGGUGCUUUUUGGUUUUUGUCGCACUCUCCUUUGUUUGACCUCUGGUGUCAGAGGACUUGGUUGGCAUCUCUGCCUCUCUAAUCAUCUCUGACAUGUGGCUGGCACUGGCAAAUUUACUCAAAAGGAUGUUCCUGCUGUAUUCUGCAUUGGCCUUCACCUGUUGGAGGCAGAUAAGUGCUGUAUAUUUUGAAUCGGGUAUAAAAAUGUAAUGAAUACUUCGUAUACUGCUUUGCUUUGUAACUCUGGUUCACGAGUUCUGUCUUCUUCAGACCAAUACAAGUACUGCAGUAAGUCAGUAAGUCAGUGCUCUUUCAAAUAGCACUUCUUCCCUUCUCAAGAUAAACAAAACAUGUGAUUAGAUUUGGAAGGCAUCAACAUUUUAGUGUAUCCAGGAGUUUGUUUCUUUUUCUUUUUUUUUUUCUUUUUUUUUUCCCUACAGAAAUAUUCACAUUUGGACUUCAGGGGUGAAAUCCAGGACUCUUUGAAAUCAAUAUAUUUUCACAGAUAUUUUAACAGAGAUGAGAAUUUUCUGCUAAUCUUUCUUCUUUCAGCUACUUCUUCUCAGAAGAGUUACAUACAGACAGAUUUUUUGUACGUACUUUUUUUUUUUUUUUUUUUUGAGUUGGCUACAAGUUAGAAAAUCCCCUACAGCUAAAGUUCAGGCUGAGGAAACAAGUGAUUUUUAUGGAUUAUCUAGUGAGUUUAGUCAAGGAUGCCUGUGCUUGUGUCCUGUGGGAGAAGCUUGUAAUAAGCCUUGAUAAAUCAGUACUCAUAUGCAUGCAUCUUCCCUUUUGCCUGCUAAGACUAAACAGAGCUAUUUCUCAAUUCCCUUUCUGCUAGUGAAUCACAUCAAAGAUUUGAAAGGGUGAUGGGGUUUUCUUAUUCAAAUGAUGUAUUCAUUGACUUUCUUGAUUAGUGUCUUUACAUUUUAUCAAUGAGCACUUCUCUGAAUUUCAAUUACAUGUUUCCAUUGAAGAAACUGUGAGGGGGAAAAAAGUGGUUUCAGUAAUGAUGGUAGUCAGUUGAAAAAGUGCUGUGCAGGUUGACUGUCAAACAUAUUAAUACUUGCUUUAACAAAAUGUUUAAUUUUUAAAAUAUUUUGUUGUUAUGCUUUUAUUUCCAGAAGUGUGAACAUGCACUGGCAGAUCCUUAUUCUUUCUGUGCUCAGUUAUAAAUGUGGUAGGACAUUUAUGUUCAAAAAACUACCUACAGCCUAAUUGCAGAAGAAAGGAACACUGCAGGUCCUGCCUGAGAGGUUGAGCUGAACACAUUUUUUUUCUGGCUUACUGGUCUGGAAGAGAUUCAGAUAAGCUGAAAUCUUUUCAUGGCGCAAACUUUUGAAAGUAUAGAUCUUCCUUUCCAACUAACAUUAUGCAAGGACUGAAUCGUUGGCAUUCUGAGCAUUUGAGUUACUAGUUGCUAGUGCCACCUGCAACUUUGGCCAAAAGAUAAGAAGGUGUUUGCUUGUUUAUAUGAUAUCAGAAAAGGAUUUAAUGGGGAUAAGUUUAAUAUGCAGUAUUACACUUUUCAUUGUUUCUAAUUAAAUCACAAAUACAAUCUGCAUAUUUUGGUGAGAAUACAGUAUUUUCUAACAGAUUUUGGAUAAAAUGACCUAAAACAAUCACAGCAAUAUGAAGGCUAGUGGAGAAGUGGGUGGAGAAUCAACAUAAAAAAAUAAUUGUUUCAGUGACAUUUCUAAUGUCUGAUAUGGCAUUUCAUUUUCUCAUUUAGUGUGUAUAGAUCUUAGGAUUUUUAGUUAAAUGAAUCUAUAGUAGGUUGGCUGUUGAGCAUGGCUUGAUAUCUUUUCUAGAGGACAAAUACAGGGAAAAAAAUACCUGUGAAUGUUAUUCAGAGAUAUUUGAUCACAUUCUUAAGAAGCUGGCUGGAAUCUUAGAAAAACAUGUUUCCUCAAUGAUCUUCAUGAGUUAAGUUGCCCUGCAGAAGAACUUCUGCUAUUUCUGUUGGGGAUUGAGAGUGUCUUUAUUUCCUUGUCAGUUGGGAACUGUUUUACUGUAUAAUUAUAAUCAUAUGUUGGAGCACACAAAUAUAAAGCUUUGAAAUUAUUAUUGUGAGUUUUAGUCUAAGAAAUUUAUGUUCACAAUAAAGAUGACUUUUUUUUAUGUGCAUAAAACAACUUUGGGGCAAUUUUCUCCCUAGGAAUGCUUCAUAGUUUUGUUGCUCAAUAGCCUCCUGGGAUGUAAAAAAAAGGCUAAAAUUAAAUGCUGUUUCCCGUCAGACAGAAAAUGAGCAUUCUGCAUAACUGUUUCCAAGGUGAGUACUCUCUUCAUGGGGUAGGCAUCUGUGUUUCUGUGUCUUUUCUGGUGUAGUAUUAACAGCUCUAGAGGGUGAGACACACUAGCAAAGAUUAAAAACAAACAAACAACAACAAAAAAAACUUGCAGACAUUUAUUCAUUUCUUAGCUAGCAUGUCCACUGAGGUUUGGGAAGCCUGUAGGAAUCUCCAUGGAAGUCAACCAGCCUACCUUCAGGCUAUGAAUUUUGGUUGGUGAUGCUUACUCUUUGCAGUUUUAGUUUUCAUAGAAUCACCAAGGUUGGAAAAGAUCCCACAGGAUCACCCAGUCCAACCAUCCACCCAUCACCAAUAGUCCUCAUUAAACCAUGCCCCUCAACACAAUGAUCAAACAUUCCUUGAAAACCUCCACGGUUGGUGACUCCACCACCUCCCUAAGCAGUUUUUGAUGCUUCUUUUUAAUUCCUAUUUAUAAAAUAGAGGAAAACAACACUUCUGUUUUAGGACUGUUGUGAAAAUAAAUACAUUAAAGCUUGUAUAUUCAUAUACUAAUGUAGUUAUGCAUAUCUAAAUAAAGUAGGAAUGAGUCACCAACUUUGAAUUCUGUAUGACUGUUAUUUAGCCUUAUACAUUCAAGCUAACCAGUGAGAAGAAAGUCCAGACUGCUAAUUUGCCAUGAGGGAAUAGCAUAUCUCUGAAUCAAACAGAUUCUUUAGCUGGUGUAGGUACAGAUUUGGGGCUAGGAACAUUAAUAGCAAUUCAGUAAGGCACAUGGCAAUUGUAAUUAUUUUAUGCUAUAAAAAGAUACAAGUGACCCUGAAAAUCCUAUUAUGAACCACAAAAUUAAUGGCAAGGCUAAAAUAUUAUAGUUUUAUGUGAACCAUUUCAGUUAACUUCAGAUUUUAUAUAUAUAUAUAUAUUUAAGUCCAUGAUCAUCUUCAGAAUGUAGAAUGAAUUUUAUAUUUUUCCCUCAGUUUGAGGGAUUGUUUCCUGAAGUUUAGAUUAUUAUGAGCCAUGUUAUCAAUAAAAUCUCCCUUCCCUCCAUACACAGCUAAUUCUACUUCAGUAGAUCAGUCUGUAUGAAUGAGGCAACAGACUGUAUCAUUUUUGUUGUUUAGAUACUGAGAGGCAAAUAUACUUCAUCUCUAGAAUUGGAUCUCUCUUUCUUUCAUUAAUAGUAUUGUAACUAUAAAAUAGAUUUCAUGGGACAACUGGAGUUUGAAAGUAUAGAAAAAAGUAGAGUGGAAUAAGGAAAAGAAUUAAUUAAUAUGUGGUCGUAUUACUUAUUUCACUUAUUUAUUGCUACAGUAAUAAGGCAUUAGCACUUUUAAUAGAGUAGAUCGUUAUUUACCUUUCAUAAUUUUUGAGUUUGUGUAUGUGUGCAGGAGUUUGUCAGAGUGCUACACAGAGCUUAACUUUUAUAUUUGCAUUUCUUAACAGUGUCAGUUUAUGUUCUGCCACCAGGGAUUGCCUCAUCCCAUGUAAUCCAGAAUGUCUAUAGAUUGAUCUCUGUGCCUGAGGAACAUGAAGAAAUUCCCCCAUACUCUGUAAUUUCUUGAACAUUGAAUGCAUUGGGAUCGGACCACACAUAGUGAUUUUUAUCUUUGAAGUAUUUCUUUUUUUUUGUUUUAUUUUUUAAUUUUUUUUUGCAUUGAAAGACUCCAACCAUCUCUACUAUUGUGUAUAAUAUGAAAGUAAUUAAAAUUCUAUUUUAUCACUUAAUCACCAAAAUGGUUAACUUACAUUAUUGCUGUCUCCCAGUCUAUGCCAUUGUUCUUUUCCAGGAGAAGAAAAUUCUACAAAGCAGCAGAAAGGAAGUGCAAUUCAUUAUGCACGGAGCUUUUUUUAUCUUAAUCAGUUCUGGUAAUUUACGUAAGAGGUUUUGUCAUUAACUGCGUUUUCUUUGAAGAAAUCCCUCCCAUAGCCUAAUCUAGUUUGCCACUUAUUUAAAUGCCUGUGAUGGUAAAACAGAACUACUUUCUUCAGAGUGUUUGAAAAUUAUUAGAAACUCUAGUCUGAAUGUGUGUAUAUAUAUACUUUCGUCAGACAAAAUAUUAUUGUAAGUGAAUGCUAUGUUGUCAUCUUCUAAUUAGACUGGUCUAUUAGUCAAAUUUAAGUUUCAAGUGGACUGGAGGAUGGAGAAGUGUAUGUAAUGGGAGGCACAUAAUAACCUUGUUAACCACUAAAAUGUCUUUCAGGUUUGAACACUGCAAGGAGACUGACUACAUGCAUGAGAGCUGCUCUGAUAGUAAUGCCUCCUAUUUUAUUAUGUUAGCUCAUAAUAUCAGAAGUGGUUGGUGGUAUGGCAGUAGAAGUUGAACCUUCCUACCAAUAUUUUGUUAGAUUCUGUUGCAAUGUGACAGAUGACAGCAGAGGGAGAGUGAGACAAAUUGGCUUUUGACAUGGAAGUGUGUAUGAAGCAAAAAUAUGUCAUUGAAUUCCUCCAUAGGGAGAAAAUGUCACCCAGUGAUGUUCACUGAAGUUUGCUGAAUGUUUAUGGAGGCCAUUGAAUGUCAGCACACCAAGGUAGUGGGUGGUGCGUUUGAAUAGUGGUGACAGUGGAUCAGCUCCACUGGUGCAGAUUAUUAUGAGCGCAGCAUGCAUGCUCUUGUUCAUCAUUAUUGAAAAUGUAAAGCUAAUGGUAGCGAUUAUGUUGAAAAAUAGUGUUUUGUAGCUGAGAAUUUGCUCUAUCAAAUACUGUUAUCUUUGUUGUAAUUUCCAUGGAAAGAAAUGUAAAUCUGAGAAGAGAGAAGAAAAUCAGCAGGGAAUGUCAAUGUAACCGAAAUCCAGGAGCAUAUCCAGCUGAAGGGAGUUCACAGAUUAAGAUCAAAGAAGAACUGAGUGUUAGAAUAAAAGAUUUCAUUUGAGACUUUUCAAGUAUAAUUUGGAGCAGACCAUCUUGAAUGUCAUCACACAGCACAUACAGGACAACCAAGCUAUCAAAUGAAGCCAGCAUGGGUUUGUGAAAAGCAGAUCCUACCUGACUAUCCUGGCCACCUAUGAUCAGAUAACUUGAUCAGUAGAUGAGAGAAAGGCUAGGGUUAUUGUAUACCUUGAUCUUGGUGAGUGUUUGAUGCUGUUUCUGACAGUAUUUUCCUGGAGGAUCUGCCUGUUUUUGGCUUGCGCAGGUGUAUAUUUUUCUGGGUGUUGAACUGCCUGGAUGGCCAGGCUCAGAGAGUCAUAGUGAAUGAAGUUCAGUCCAAUUGGCAAUGAGUCACCAGCAACUUUUCCCAGGGCAUGGUACUGGGAACAGCUUUAUUUAACAUUUUCAUUAAUGAUUUGGAUGGGGGGUGCAGUGGAAUUGCCAAGUUAUGGCCUGAACCAAUGGUUGAGCACCAGGUGAGAAAGGCAAGACUAACCCAGGGAGCUCAUGUGCAAGCAAUGCACAUGAGUGACUAGAAGGAAAUCAGUCUGGAUCCACCGCUCCUUACUCUCAUUUAAGGGCUAGCAGCUGAGGGAGCACCGUUUCUCUGGAUAGAGGUUGCACUCCUCUUGAGCUGUCGCUGAUUGUUGGAAGGCGUGAGCCAAUUUUCCUUCUUUGCUACCUGCUAUUGUUCUGUAGUGCCUGUAUCCCAUUCAAGCACACUGUUAUUGCCUUCUUUCCCCAUACAGGGGAAUUUAAUGAACCCUCAGAAGGUUCCCUGACAAUACCAAAUUAGGUGGAACCUGCAUGAGAGUUGGCAGGCUAUGCAGAGACAUCUGAAUUAGUAGAUUCAGUGGGCCAAUGAAUUCAAUCAUAUGGUAUUUAAGGAAGGUGAGUUGCUCAGUCCUGCACUUCAGUCAGAAAAACCCUGUGCAGUGAUAUAGGCUGAGGAAAGAGGACUUGGGGAUGCUAGUCAAUAGCUGAACACAAGCCAGCAGCGAGCCCAGGUGGCCAAAGUGACUGAUGAUAUCCUGGCCUACAUUAGAAAUACUGUGGACAGCAGGAUGAGGGAAAUGGUAAUCCCAUUGUACAGCGCUGGUGAGACUACACUUUGAAUACAUUGUUCAGUUUUGGGCCCCUUACUUCAAGAAAGCUGUUGAGUUGUUCAAACAUAUACAGAUAAGUGAAAUGAAGCUGGUAAAGGGAUUAUAAAACAAGAAUCAUGAGGAGCAGCUGAGGGAACUGGGGUUGUUUAGUCUGGGGAAAAUAAAGCUGAGAGUGGAUCUCAUCUCUCUCUACAACUUCCAGAAAGGAGGUGAUGGGUGACAGGAUGUGAAAUAACAAACUUUUAGAAUUUCUUCCCAGAGAGAGUGUUCAAGAACUGGAACAGACUGCCCUGGGAAGUGGUGAAGUCCUCAUCCCUGGAGAUAUUUAAGAGAUGUGUGGAUAUGGUAAUAAAGAACAUGGUUAGAUGAUGGUUAGAUGACUUUGUCGGGUCAGGUUGAUGGAUAUACUUGAUGAUCUUUAAGGUCUUUUCCGACCUAGAUGAUUCUGUCAUACGUGUAUGGGUUCUCAGUACCCUGCAAUUAAUAUAUAUCUUUAGGAGUUGUUUCACCUAGAAUCUUUCUUUCAUCCUCAUCACUGAUUUAAAAAUACAGUGCAAAAAAUAUUUCUCCUUCCUGCUUUUGUCUCUCUCUUAUAUGUAUGUAUUUAUACGCUUGUUGUUGUUUCCUGGUUUUGCUCUGUUGGAGAAUAAGUAAAGUUUAGGGAAUGGAUCUGAUCCAAUGGUUUAAACUUUGCUCCAGUAAAGUCUUUAUUACAUGGUCUAAUUCUAAUUUUUUUUUCCCUUUGCUUUUUACUCUUAGGCACACAUUUGAAUUCUGAACUGGUCUAGGAUCUAGACUUCUUUCUUAACAGCGCAGGUUCAUGUUGAAUUAGAGAUCUCAUAUAUAUCUUAGGUUUUUUUACCUGACAGUUUCAAGUUUUAAGGAUUUUUCUUGCUAUAGAAGGCCCUGGUCAUGAGGCAGUUAUGCUUUUAAAAAGCUGACAUGUACAAGAUCAGACAUAGGACUUCACUGGCCAAAGAAAGCACAUAUUAUCCUAUAAUAAGUUGACUCUAAAUGUUCCACUUUUCCUCCUGAGAUUCUAUUGCCCAGACUCCCUUAUUUCCCCUUUAUCUUCUAAUCUGCUUCAUUGAGUUACACAUCUGUGUAUGUUUACUCCUGUGCAUGUAGUGGUGCAAACCAAUCAAGUGACCACUGAGACAGUAAUACUGCCUCUCAGGUGGUACAUAUAAGUCCACAGAUGUUCUGGGGUACUAACUGCUUCUUCAUAAUUCCACGCAGAAGAAUGGCUUUACAAAAGAGCACAAACAGGUUGAAUUAAUAUUGCCUACUGCUGAUCUGAGUGCCUUCAGUACCCCUUCUCCCAGUAUGAGAUUUAAGUUCCGUCAUUGGAACGGCACUCAUUCAAAAAUUAGACCAUAUAUAGCACAAUGAAACAUUCCUACAACUUGGAACCUUUUCUGAAGCAAAAAUUAUACAAGUAAACUAAAGGCUCAAGGCAAAAAUUAUGACUGAAUGUGAUCUUUUGAGUAAAUAAUGGAUUCUGGUAAUGCAUUAGUUUUCAUUCAGAAAAGCUGCUAAUAUAAUCCUAGUUCCCCAAACAGCAGGCUAAUUGUUGUUCAGUGUUCUUUCUGAUUCCACUUAAAAAUUUCACGGUGGACCUAAUAACAGUAAAAGUUAAGGGGUUUAAUAGGUUGGGUGGUUUUUUUUGUUUGGUUGGUUGGUUGUUUUUUUUUUAAAAGGAAAUCGUCCUUUUGAAAUUAUCUGGAACUAGACUUGAACAAACACUUAAAAUUUUAACAAAGUUAUUCCUUCCAUCUUCCCAUUUUCCUUCUAUUAUGGAAACAUUUUUUUUUAAUGGAAAAAAUUGUGUGUCUCUGUGCAAUUUGGACUACAACAAUGCUGUUCUUAUUGAUGUGCUUUGAGCUCAAUUCACAAUCAAGUGGUGAGAGGGACAGUCUCAAUUGCCACUGAUUUAUAUGUAAAUUGUGAUAAACCAGUACUUUCAAAUAUAAGGCACAAAGGUUCCAUUUUAUAUCUCUCUUUCUCUCUCUCUCUCUUUUUUUUUUUUAGGUAAGAUUCCAGGAGUAAUUUAAAUGUAGUGAACUUAGUAAAUUCUAAAAUGAUCUCCACAUGAUGAAAUAAUUACUGAUUUUAUGCAAAGAGUAAAAAUGAUACUUAAGAAUACUUAUUAUUUUAAGAGUAUACUGCUGUCUUCAGGACAAAAAGUAAUUGUUUUCAUCAUUGCCUCUGUGGAUUAUAUUGUCCUUAUAAGCAGGUAUUAAAUCAUGCAAAGAGGGGAAGGCUUUUGUUCCUUCGAGAAAACAGAAAACUCUUCAAUAAAUAGCAAAGUGAUUCCUCAGCUGAAUUCAAAAUAUUGAGCUUAUGUAAAAAAAAAUUAUCACAUGAAAAAAAAUCUUUAAUGCUGCAUAAAAGAUUUUGUUCCAUUCUGCAUUGUACUGAAUCAUCAAUAGAGAAAUGGUUCCUUUGUUUUCAGUAGAUGGGGAAUGUUGUGGAUAACUUAUGUGAAAAAUGUAAUACUCCUAUGUCAGUACAACAAAAGAAAAGAAAGGAGUAAAUGUUAUGAGGACUGCUUCAGAAGGGAAUUCUGCUCCAAAGAGGUGAUCUAGAAAGAAAGGAAACAAACUCCUUAGUAGUCAGUCCGUUUAGACAGUGAUGCUCAUUUGUGUGAAGCUUUUUUGUUAUCAUCACAUAUUUCAUACUCAUAUAUUAGGUAAGUCUCUCUGGGAAUUCAAUGUACACAGAACAAAAGAGGAUAUACUUGAUUCAAAGAUAGCUGAAUUUCUCAGGAAGUUCUAAACCUCAGUGGGAUGGCUGCUUGGGAAGUCCUUUUACUGCAGUGCCUUGUGGCCACCAAACCAAGCAGUGAUUGAGCAGCCUUGAAUCCUUGUAAUUAGAAGAAGGAAGCUUAGUGAGAACCAGCUUAGAUGACUUUGUUCAUUUUCCUUAGCUUGUAUAGAACUGCAAGUGUUAAUAUAAUCUAAUAAUAAGAUUGUUUUGGAAAAAAAAAAUCUUGGUUUUAUAUUAAACCACUAAACAAAGGAGUGAAAGAAAAAAUAUAUUGCAAUGUUAUGAACAUCAAAUACUAUCUGAACAAGGAAAUAUUAACAGUUUAUGUGAUAAACUUUAGACAAUACUCUUGCAUCAAUAGCAUCACUGAACUGCUUGUGGGUGGCUGGGGAUAGUUUUUCCAAUAUCCAAUACUAAAAAACCCAUUAUAUUAAAAAAAAAAAAAAAAAAAAGUGAAAAGUGAAUAAGAGCAUAUUGGGUCAUUGGCUUAUUAAUUUUACAACUAGAUGAAACAGUAGAUUUGUUUUACUUUACACAAGCUGUGUUUUUUUUCCUUCCAUGAGCUGAGUGAAUGAGUUUGAUUGGUUCUGUAAGGCUCCGGUUUGAAUUUGGGGGGAUUUUAUGCUUUUCUAAUCUUUAAAUGUAGAGUACUAUAGAAUAUGAUUACCUACCAAUUUCUUAACCAAUAUGUAUUUACUGCUGUCUCUGAGUUUAUAUUAUACUACAAUUUUGGAAGUCUUUUUAUACAUGAUUGUAACUGUUCAUGUCAGAUCUGUCUACAUUCGUAUAUUCAGUGCAUGUACUUGAAGAAUAGCUUAUAGAAAGUAAUUGCAGCCAGUGUUUAUAGGACAUCACAGUUGUGUGAACAGUGCUUAAAAACCUGAAAAAAAUCAGAAAAAAAGAUAGUAUAGAUUAAAAUAUUUUUAGAUUUCAUUUCAAAUAGGAUUAAACAAAAAUUUCAAGUAUUAUCUUUACAACUGUGAAGUUCACCCUAUUCUCAGUGAUGGCAUACUAAAUUUGUCAUGUAACUGUGCCUUAGCUAGCCUGUAGGAUUUAUUUUAGUUAUACAGACUGUCUUGGAAAUACGCAUAGAGGAUGAAGCAGUGACCUAUGGAUUUUAGAAUACUCAGAAAAAUUUUGCAUACUAAUCUUAUUUUUUUUAUAACAAUCUGAAUCUAAUUUACUUGCUGCAAGUGGGGAUGAGUCACAUUAAUUUGUCUUUUUUAACUAGAAAUACCCUACAGCUUGAUCAACACCACUAUCCCGAUUUAUACCAUCAACAUCAUGGAUUGGGUCAGUAUAAGGAAAGGAAAAAAUGAAAGAAAUCAGAAGCAAUUUUAAAACAUCAGAAGAGAAAAAAAAAGUCUUUGAAUAGAUCUGUAAAGACAGCUCAUUAUGUUUAUGAAAAAUCCACAGUUGAUAGUGAUGUACUGAUGAAUAUGACUAUAUAUAUGAAUAUCCACCUCAUCCCUCCUCUUCUGAGUUGUCAUCAAGAAAUAAGAUAUUCUCUCUUACUCUUCUGCCAAAAAACAUCUGGAAUCCUUAGGAAAACAUUGAGGUAUUGAAUCAAAAAGACUCUAUCAGCAUAUUUACUUUAAGCACUCAAAGUCAGUCAUUGACUCAGUUGUAGACUUAAGAUUAUGCAGUUGCUUCAUGUUUUACUAAAAGGUUUAAACAUUAUACUGAAACAGAGGUAAUUACACUGCUUAUAUGCAGUUCUAAUCUACCUUGAGUGUGGGAAAAAAAAUUACUUGUGCAUUUAAAAAUAGUAUUAUAAGAAUUAUUUGUAGGAUUUUUAUGCCUAGGUGCUAGGUGCUCCUAGUGCAGAUUUCACAACUUUUUGGAAACUGUAAGAUUACUAUUUCUUUCUGAGUUGUUUGUCACUCUUAAUAACUACGAGGUAAACAGAAGAAAACACUUCUAUGAAAGCUGCUCUAAUAACUGCUGUAAUGACUACUAACAGAAAUGGCUUCAUUAUUCAUGAGUUGUGCACAGAAUUAGUUUGAGACAUUGAAUGGAUGUGAGGAUCUAUUCAUUUUCUGUUACAAACUCCAUUCUCAGCUACCUGAAAAAAUUAAGGUCAAGAAAAUGGUUCAUCAUGUUUACUCAUUCAAGACAUCACCAAAAUCCAGUUGAUACUAGAACUGGGGACAAACUUACUUUACUAAUUUGUCUUUGUGGGUAAUAUGCAACCAAUCCUUUCCAUAUAAACUACUCCAGAGCCACUAUUAGUAUUUUUACUAGUGUACGGAUAGGAGGAGGUUAGAGAAGCAUAUAUCAUAUGUCUAGGUUAUAUAUAAAGGGACUGGAUAUUGAUUACCUCCAUAUUUUACCUGCUGAUAUAGUCAUCUUUGUGUAAUUUUUGAUAAUUUUACAAGGACACCUUAUUGUUUGUGAGAAGCAAGUUGGAGAGCCUUUCUGUAGUGAUCUGCAUCAGCAUUUAGAAUGCCAUAAUGAGGUUAUAUGUUACACUAUGCUUAUGUGCUUUGCUAUUAAUUUGAAAUAUUCUCCCUGAACAUGAAAUUAAUAGAAGUAAGGAAAAACUAUUGGACCACAAUCUGGAUUAAGCACUUCUUUGUAUCAUAGAACUUCAGAUGCAUGAUUAUUAUGCCAGUAAUCAGAGUAGCAUUGAAUUUAAAAUUGCUGCUUUGUUGCUCUGCAUAUUUUGAUCCAGUAAUUAGGACUGAGAACUGUUACUUCGUUUUACUUUCAGCAUUAGUAACAUUACAGGAUUUCAGAGUAUGCAAAAGAGAAAGGGCAUGAAAAUCAAAGCAAAACUUUCAUUAGAUGAUGAUGCAGUUUUGGAAAUUUAAGGAACUUCAAUUAAGUUUCACACCUUACAGUAUAAUGUAUACCCUAAAUUCUGUAAAACUUAAGCUUAGGUGAAUUAUUUGGAUUUUUGCUGUGACCUUCACUUAAAUGGCUAGUAUUUCUUUCUCUAUCUUUCAGUGCAAUAAUUUUAGACCAUACAAGUGCCAGGUUAACUUUUUUUUACAGGGUAGUAGCUGUGUCUGCAUCAGCAAGUCAUACAUGGAAGAAAUAGAUCAGGAGAUCAAAAUAGCUGGUGGUUGAGACUACUGCCACUAUUAUGUGUACUGCUCUGGGGGCUUAUUUUGAAUUGAUUUAGUCUAGUUUCCUGAUUCAGAUGUCCUCGUCACAUGUGCAGCUCAAAGUCCUUUGAAGAACUAACCUUUUGUUUGGACCCUUAUGAACCCACUACUUGCUAGAUUGCAUUUGAUGUGUGCCUGAUAUAGAGUUUAGUUUCCUCCAAAGAAAAUCUAGCUAGCAUCAGCCUCUCCUCAUUGGGCAAGUGCCCAACUCCCCACCAUAAUGAAUGCCCAUUCCUUAUCAGUGCUGUAUCUUUAUCUCUAUUUUGACAGCAGUUUUCUGACUUUGAGUUCUAUCAUAAUCUUAACAAGCUUCCCAUUAAUUUCUGAAUAGAACAGCAUAUGAAGAUACAGUACUGGAAGUCUGGUGAAAGGAUUAUGGUGUUAGGAAUUAACAGGAAGAAUGAAAACUACUGCACCCACCCAAUACAGAAAAGUACAUACUUCAUUAUCUUAGUAGCUACAUUAUCUGCAAUAUCAAACAUCUUGUUUCGUGUCAAAGGUCAUACCUUGGUGAUGUCUUAUUAGUACAGCCGUCUUUAGCUGGUGUGAGAUAUGUGUUUAUUCACAGUUUGAACAUCACCCCUUCAUUCUCUCCUAUCAUUAGUAACUUAGAGUUUUCAUGUACCCGAUCAACUCUUGACACAAGAUAGGUCUCUAGAAGGAAGAGUGAGUUUUGAACUUUCUGUAAUUAAAUGUACAUUUUUUUAACAUCAGUAAUUGGAAAUCACAAUAGAUUCCAAUCCCCAUGCUAAUAAUUCAUUAUAAAUCUGACAUAUAUGGCGAACAUUUAUAUACCAUAAUUUUAGAGGUAUCUCAACUAGAAAGUUCCUAGCAAUAAUAAAAUAGUAAUAAAAAGACAAAGGCAGACGCAAAAUAGCAUUUUAAAGGUAACAUAGUUGAAUCUGUUAUUGUCCAAAAUUAUUUUCUGCAUUAAACACUAGAUACUAUGAGAAGAACUUAAAGUAAAAGGUACGUACUGUAAUUCUUCUCAUAUUAUGGAUUAGACUGAAAAAAUACACAUAGGUAGUAAGGAAGUUGUGUUCUCCCAUAGCACUGUGAUUAAUGUGUACUUAAAUUUCUUCAAAAGAAUCUCAUAAUAUGUCCAUGAGAUGUUCGUGAUUUUAUUACAUCAAAAUUUAAAAGCAAAUUUCAGGCUUACAAGCUCUGGCUUUUUUGCUGUGAUUGGCUUCUGACAUGAGCACAGGUAGUCCCUGUCUUGUAGUCUUGCAUUCUCGAUUUACAUAGUGGACUUUAAAUUGUUUUACUUCAGGGGAUGUUAUAAUCUCCUUUGAUGUCCAUAAAGUCAGUAGACCUAAUCUGCUUGAAAGAUACUGAAUUUCUUAGAAGCUCAUAUCCGCCUACUAUUUUACAUAGGGAUUAUCAUUACUAGGCUCAUAAAAUGUGUUUUUAACAAUAACAAAAUUUGAUAAGCAGCUUGGCUUCAUAAUGAGAAUUUAGCAAGACAGAAAUGCUACUCAGCAGCAAUAGUUUUUCCCUUGCAGAAACUAUGUCAUGUGAAAAGAAAAGGAAGGAGGAUCUGAUUUCUAGACAGUUCGUAACUGAUUGUGUCAAAAUCUACAUAAACGCAGGACACACAGUUCUCAUGGUAUGUAUAAGAGUUGUUUAAGGAGUUAAUUAUGGAUAGGAAUGAAUUAUCUGUGCAUAUGCUGCUGGUAACAAAUAAUCAACUUUAAAUUCUCAUUUUUAGACCUAAUGGUUGAUAUUCAAUUACUAAUGGUUAUCCAUCUAAAAAGCUAUCUUACAAUACUCAGCUUGAAUUAAAUAUCACUACAUUAAAUUGAAUUAUGAGAAAGAGUAGCUCAUCUAUAUAUGUAGAACAUCUUGAAAUUGAAAUUUGUUAUUCAAAUCGUGAUUCUGUAAUAUGGAAGUGCACAUUUUUAAUAUGAAUAUAGAGAAUUCAGUGCUUGCCUAUUUGAGUUGCAUGUAUGAGCUCAUUAAAAAAGGUAUGCUAAAAAUGAGUAUCUAUAAUAUAUAAUCUAGAAGAUACAAAACCAAAUACAUAGUUACUGAUACCAGUCUGUGUUAAUGUCUGUGGGUUGCUUCAAAAGUACUGCCUUCUAUUUAUUUCCAUGGCAAUUAAAACAGAUACGGAGGACACAAUAACACUGUUUGAUAGAGCAAAUUCUCAGCUACAAAGCACUAUUUUUCCUCAUAUAGUCACCACCAUUAACUCCAUGUGUUGCCAGUGAUGAACAAGUUCCUGCAUGCCAUGCUCGUAAAAUUCUGCAUGGCCAUCAGGGGUGUGGCUUGUCUUUCAUGUUGCUAUCAUCACACUGCUGAAACACACAACCCAUGGCCUCUCUGUGCUCACAACCACUGUUUGGUCCACAUAAAUGUUCACUGAGCAUUGAUGAAAGUCAGCAGGUGUCAUUUUUUAUGCUUAGAGGAAUUCAGUUAUAUGCCUGUGCUCAAUAAUUCACUUCCACAUCAGACACUGUUUUGACAGACUGCCCCUCUGCUGCCAUCUGUUGCAUGGCAACAAAAUGUAAUGGAAUAUUGGUAGGAAGUUUCAGCCUCUACUGACAUACCACUAGCAUCUGCCUCUGAUGUUGUGGGCCAACAUAACAAAAUUGGAGGCAUCAUUUUCAGAGCAGCCCUUGUAGACAGCACCAUAAAUGCCAGUAGAUGAAACCGUAAACAGGGUGUACAGCUUUAAGUUUUCUUUUUUGAAUUAUUCUUUACCAUUUUACAUCACUUUUAAAGACUGCAUUUUGAAAAAUGGUCAGCAUCUCUAAUUCUGUAUGCAUAAGCAGUUGGGCAUGCUAGGGGAAAAACCUAUUUCUAGGAUUUAUGUGUGUAUACUAUCUGAGUGUGCUUAGCAUGACCGACAGUUAUCACGUACCAGAAUGACAGUGUAUUUUGCAUUCUUAUAGGAGAUUUGUGCAAGUAGGUGGAGACAAUGGGAGGUCUAUAUGAAGUUCUAACUGGCUUAAGUUGGUGAUGUUGAAUGUGACUGUUAACGCUAUAUAUUUCUGAAAGUUUUAGAGUCUUUAUUUGUAAUGACAUAUUAAGGAUUCAUUUACUGUUUUCCAACUUACAGAUUUAUUCUGAAGACAUUUUUUAAAGGGCACUCAAUCUUAACUUUCAUUGCGUGGAAACAGAUUUAUGCCCCAUGAAACACAUGGCUACUUAAUUUUGGCUUCUACAUUCUUGUUUAUUUGUAUAUCUUUCUGAAUAUAUUCCUCUUUGUUAUUAGCUUACUCCUGCCUCUUUGCAGACAUGCGUAAUCAGCCACAAGUUUCAAAGGUUGCAGUUGGUAGGAAGGGCAUGGGGAUAACAGCCUGAAGCAAGAAUAGACGAGAAAGUGUGGAUAAAAUCAACUCUGUGUUCUGAUAAGAGAGAAAUAACCUACCAUUUGUACUAUUUACUUGGAGGAAUUUAGAAACUAGCAGGGAGGAAGAUUAGACAGCUUAGGAAGAAUUAGAACCUUGAAAAAAGAUGUAAGAGGAUGGAUGAUAUACCUCAGGAAGAAUAUGUCUUAGCAUAUAGUCUAGGGAGACAAACUUACAUGGCACUUCAUAUAGAUAUGACUGCUGCAAGCUCAGCUUCAAUACUGUAUUAAAUUGAAUAUGUUGCAUCCCAGCUGGAACUAGCUAUGAUAUGUCCUAAGGCACCAUUUUUAUCAGCAGCCUUUUUGGGUUAGCAAACAACAAAUGAACAGUUUCUGUGCUUUGAGCCAGUAAUAAUGAGAACUUGAUAAAUUCAAAUUCUUAAACUGUGAUCAUUAAACUAUUUUGUUAAAAUUUGUUUUUGUUGAUCUCACUGAUGGAGACACCUCUUUGCCUAGUCCCAUCAUGUUGAUUUGAGAAAGACCAUGGAUUCUGACAAGACUUAAGGAUACAGAGAAACAGAAAUUUUAGACAAGCAUAGUGUUUCAUUGUUUAUUAACCAAGUAGUUUUGUUUCUGUGGGAUCAUUUCAUCUAGAAUCACUCUGAUAAAGACACAAAACUACUGUGUUGGUUGUCCUUAACAGAAUGUAAAAAUUUUUGAGUGCUCAUUUCAGACUGACAGACUGGCAGUAAAGUUGCCAACUAAUAUAUCUGGCUGAUCUUUUGUAUGAAAUGCAACAAGUAGCUUGAAGUCCUCCUCCUUUGGGGCCAGCAAAUUGAGAAUGCCAAUAUUCUGUAUCACUUGAGGGUGUUUUGAGGUCAGUUAGUGUUUUUGAUCUAGCAGUUACAAUAAAAAAUCUAGAUACAAAAAAGCCUACUUACAGUAAAUCUGUUGUUGUGGUUAUACUUUUCAGUUAUUUUAGUCCAAGAAUCUGGAGAAUUUCCUUGUAUUUGGAAACAGCGUGAUGCUGUUUGACAGCAGUCCACAUGCCAUGUCUUACUUCUAAUGGCAAGAGCUUGGCUGUCCAUUGAUGUGAAAGGGCUUUUUGGUAAAAUGUGAGUUUUGCUUUUUCCACUGAAAUGGUUGAAAAGUGAUUUGAGUAUAAAAUGGACACAGUGACAAUAGGAAAACCUGAGAGAGAGAAAGAAUGGAUUUCUUCCUAAUUAGUCUGAACAUAAUAAUGUGUAGCAUGUUAGCAGAACAUGUCUGAUUUUUAACAGAGGAAAAAUGAGAGUGCUCAGCACAAGAGAAAAGCUUUGCAUUAAAUAAACCUUUUAUUUUCCAGUGUCAGUUAAGUUCUGCUGAACAAAACCUUGGACCAUUGCUCUAGAAAGCAGCAGGUGAAUGCCACAAGGCAUCAUACUGAGGCCAGGGUGAGGGCAGCCACAGGGCUGGGACAUGGCCAAUGAGGAGAGCUAGGCAAGGCCUGACCAAGGUCCUGGGGGUCUAUGCUCAUACUGAGCCAUCUGCUGGGCAGUGCGGCAUGCCACUGUGCCACGUUCAGUCAAAUGUUGCAGAGCACUGCAAAAGAGACGUGGAGGACAGCUUGCUGAUUUUGUGGGCUUCCUCAGGCAAGCAAAGGCUGAUCAGGCAGAAGCCAGUUGGGUAGCUAUCCCCACAGGCAUCAGGAACCCAGCGUGAGGAGCCCAGAUGUGGUGUGCACUCAUACAUACCAACAUGAUAAAGGAUGUAUUUCCUCACAUGCACUUACUGGCUUUUUGGGUGGGUAGGAACUAGGAGGUUUUCCAGUCCCUCCCUGAUGUUUUCUUAGGGAAUCACCAUGAAAUGUGUUCCAUGUGAUGGCCGCCCAUAUUGCUCUUAGCAAAUACAUCUUUAUCUUGGCUUCAUAUCAAAAUGGGCUAUUGAUUUCAGAUUAACAAAAUCAAGAAAAAUAUAAGUGUGAGAUACUUUUAUUCUUCAAUAAAGUUCUGAGGACAAUAAUUGGAUUUGCCUUCCAGACAGGCACAUAGUAUUGAUUAUGAAUCUGAAACUAUAAUUCAAACAAGGCCAAAACUAAUAGAAAGUAUACACAUGUUCAGUAACAAAUAAAUUAAAAAAUAAAAAAUAUUCAUAUGUUAAAUGCAAGAAUUUUACAACUGUUACACUGAUAUGUUAUUGUAUUACACUUGCCUAAGUGGCUUAGCUGUUUUGUGUAUAACCUAAUAUAUGAUUUCACUGUUAGAGAAUUAUGGAGUAAACUAAAGAAAGGUAAAACACUUUUUAUCACUAACAUAACAUAAAACAUACCUCAGUGACUGUUGUUGUGAAAUACUAUUUACUAUUUUUUUUUCUUUUUGGUCCUUGAUGAAAUUAAUGUGGGAAUGCAGUAUGAUGCCGGAUGCUAAAGUAGAUCAGUAGAUUAAUUUUAGUCUCUUAUGUAUGCAACAGAGUUCUGAACAGUCUUUGGGUGAGGCUGUCAUGCUGAAUAAUUUCUUUAUCCAUUGAUCUCUAUUCAAGACUUGAACUUCAGUAACUGGACAUCUCAACAUCAUAAAAUAGUCAAAACUUGAAAGGAGACAUUAAAUUACAAAAAAAAAAAAAAAAAAAAGGAAAAAAAGUUAUACCUCUUUUCACUUUAAUUUCUUUCUUUCUUUCUUUUUUUCUUUAAUCUCACUAAAAAAAAAAAUAUCAAAAUGUACUGUACUAUGAUUUUUAUUAACCAGUUCUUACAACUUGCAACUGAUUGUCUCAGCUUGAAUUUAUCUGUAGUAUACAGAAUUCUCUUGCCCAUUCACAAAGAAAAAGUAUUAUUUAGAGUAGUUCUCAUCCACAGCUUCCUCAUUACUGGAUUUAUGUGAAAAGCAGAUCUUAUUUCCCAUGGUUAUUCACACAGAAGUUUUCUUUUUAUGACUUGAAAAAUAGGGUUAUUCUUCUUUCCUUGAUACUUGAUGCUUUUAGUUUAUUCCUAUAGCAAAUAGAAGCAGAGGUUCUCCAGUUCCUAAGUGCUAUUGGUGCUUUUUAUGUGUAAUAACUGGACUUAACACAAAAAAUAAAUUUUUAUCCAGUUAUUUUAUGCCAAAAUCAACACUCUCCACAGUCUGUACAUAUACUGGUAUACUGGUAUUGCUUCUAUCUUGAUUCAGAGUACAGCCACCAUGUUAAUGAAGUGUUAGCAGAUAUGUAAGAAGUUAUCUAAGAAACAUUAUUUUAGUUUUUUGAAACUGCUCUGCAAAAACAUUUCUUUUCAGUUAGUAAUUGCUUAGAGCUUAUAAAGUUGAAUGAAAGAUAAAAUAGAUCUUCCUUUUUUUCAACUACUUAACACAACAAGCAUUCAUUUUUUCCCCUGGAUCUAAACUGGAACUUUUGAAGAAUCUGAUCUUACCUUUCACCCAGAAAGAGGAGGAGAGAUCAAAGAACUCUCUCUGUUACCUUCAGCUGGUCUCUGCAAUGCCGUUACUGCUGCUGCUACAGAGUCCAGGUAAAAUAUUCUGCAUUGACUGAGUUAAGAGAUUACACUAAACCAAGCAAGUUUAGGGAUAUGGCAGAUGUCUUCACUUUUGUUUCCUUUCAUUGCUGAUGAGGAUUACCUUAUGAUUUAACCAACAUCCCGAUUACAAGGACUGAGUUUGGAAGAACAAUGAUGCUUCAGAUAAAAUGUCUUAUCCUCUUUGCAGAAACAGGAAGCUAUGGCAGUGAUGGAAGUGCAAACAUCAGAGGAUCCCAAGAGUACAGCAGUGACUUGAGAGAGCUGAAUGUUAGAACAGUGGAUAUUCAUUGAAGAAGUCAUGGAAGAGUCAUUCCCUGGAAGGGACAGGUAACUCCCUGGAAAGACAUGAAAAAAAUCACUACCAUUAGCCUGAUAGAGGUAGGAGAAAAAUACCGAAAUGUAAAUGUUGGAAAUGUCUAUUUUAAUACAGGUUUGCUUUGGCAAGAGUGAACCUAGGAAGGAAAGCAAGCAAUGAACAUAAUGUCCAAAAUAUUUAUGGUUAUCUUUGUUCAUGGUUUUAUGUGGCAAAACACUCAGUCUGGUUUUCUGAUUGCUAUCUCCAGCUUAUUUUCCUGUGGUGCCAUCCAAAGACAUUUCAACACUAAAAUUUUAAUCAACCUCUGUUUUUCACUGGAAAAUUUAAAUAAAAUAAUUCAUUUGAACAUUUUAGUAGUUGUUAUUGCUCUAUCAUAGUCUACUUAAGCAUUUCAACUUGUCAAAGAAUGAUGGGUUGUUAUGGGUAUUUUAAUGAAAGACCAUAUUAAAAAUACCAAAGUAAUGUAAAACAUAUUGUAAAUGAGUUCAAAAUUAAAGGCACUUCAUGUCCUUUAUUGAACUCCUACAGUUUUGCUUGUAUUCACACUAAUGGCUGACGGUUUGUGAUGGGAAUGUGAAAAUCAAGCUGUAUUAGUAUUCUCAAAUACUGGAGAUUUACUAUUUCCCUUUUCACCGGACUGCAACAUUGAUUUUUACAUACAUAUGCUUACGUGUAUGCAUAUGUAAAUAUUUAUUAAACUUACAUGCACAUAGCUUAAACGUAUUACAUAUAAAUAUGCAUAUUUGUACUUAUGUCUAUAUAAAUUGAAGGCAAGGACAUCACAGCAAAUUGUAGAUUGCACAUAAACAUUGCAGAUCAUUUCACAUGAACUUCUUGGGCCACCUUCAAUAUAGUUCAAUUGGAAAGAUUUACAAGGGACAAAUACCGUGGGCUACUUUUAAAUCAGCCUAAGACUACCUGUUGCAUGCUCUUCUGUUAAUUUAUCUUCCCAUGUUUAUGCCCACAGCUAAAGAAGGUAGGUCAGCGAAGAAAGAAACUGCUUUUGUGUAAAAGUGUAGAACUAUGCGUGAUUAGACAGAAUUUUCUGUAGGAAAUUCAGGUAUAUGCUUAUCUACUGAAUCCUGAGAUGAAGACUGGGGGAAUAAAGUGUAUAGUAAACUAAUAAAACAAUUUCUUCUGUAGCAGAAGAGACAAAGAUAUCGUUAUUAAUUUGUUCCGAGACAGUGUCUAGGAUGGCUUUUUGGAUUAUUUUCACUCAUAACAAAUGUAACUUCAAACUUUAAGAAAAAGAUAGCUAAGUAGGACUACUCUUUUAAAAAUGUCUUAGACUAAUUUAAGUUGCAUCCAUAUAUGACAGAUAAAAUGGAGUACUUCAUCAAGCUUAUAUUCAAAUAUGUAGUAGUAAUGGUCAGUAACCUAAUAUUUGGGAGGAAUUUUGUUUCCCUUUCAUCUGUGCAUUCCUAAUGAAGGUGUUCUAGAGCAUAUGUAGACAUGGAAAGGUAAUGGGGAAGAGGAGUCUGAGGUAGAGGCCCAGACAUCUCUUUAAGAAAACAAAAAUAGCUUCCUUUUGGAGAUUUACUUUGAGGUCUCUGGAUAUAAGAAAAUCUGUAUGAAAAUCCUUGUCUGGGUUAAUUCUGAGGAGUGUUGCAAAUUAUUAACUGUACAGUUAAAGCAACAUCUUAUCCAGUAGUAAAGGUGCGGCCAAUGUAGCCUAGAUACCACUUUAUUAAGCAUCUGUAUAUGCUUUGUAAGUAACAUCAUUGGAUGAACUCUUUCUUUCUAAGAGUUUAUUAUUAUUCUUUUUAGUUGAGUGGUCUUCCCAGUUUUUUAUUUUAUUUUUAAAUUUAUUAAAAUGAAACUGAAAGCAUAAAAACAAAAAUACACCAACACUGAUAUUCAGUAUUAAUAAUUAGUAAUGUCCAAGCUAUAAGCUCGUUAAUAUAUAUGUCUUUAGAACAUGAUUAGCAAUGUGAAAUUUACUCUGUUGCUAUAUACCACUGUAGGCACUGCCUGUGAAAGUGCCACUGACUGAAGUCACUGUACGAAAGAGAUAGGCACAGGAAGGAGAAUGUGUCCUCACAGAUUAGGUUUCCUUUUCUAUCAACUGUAAACAACCCAUAGGUAUCUCCAGAACACUUAUGGAGCACCUCUGGGGUUAAACAUCUGGUCUUUCUACCUUAAAGAUAAUGAGUAUAUAGAUAAAUACCAGCAAUCUUAAUCUAACAAAGAGCUCAGGGGACAUGCUGGCUACUGUGCAUAGGGCCUUAAUGAAGUGGACCCUCUGGAAUGGAUUCACUGGAGUGGGACUUGUUAAUCAAUAGUGUCGUUCUUCCUAGACCAUUCCCUCCAAGAAGUAUGGCACUUCAUUUGGGGCAGCUGCUGCUGCGCCACUCAAAGAUAGACUGAUGCACUCUGGGAGAUCAUAAGCCAUAGGAUGUGAGGGAGAGCAAGACAUGAAGGAGUUCACUUCAUACCUGAUGUUUGUUGCAGUCAACUCACAGGAAUAAAAGUAAGCUUCCAGUGCUGUUUGUCUGAAAUAUGCACUCCCUUCCCUGCAAUAAUCUCUAAGACAGAAACUAUGUCAACAGAGACAAGAAUUCUCAUUCUUUCUAUUAUGCUUUCAGCCCUAAGCAGUCAGUAAGGUCUGAGCUGCCCAAGUUCUGUACAGUAUCAUCCAUAAUUCAUAGAUUUCUGGCUUUCCAUUAGCUCAGCAUCAGAAAUUGAAGAGUCUGAGCGUUGCAAGGUGAUUAAGGACUUUUUUUUCUGAUAUGUUGCUUCUUUCUAAGGCUGAAUAUAGGUUUAUUUUCUGUACAAGUGCUCUUGCUAAUAGGUUAUCAUGAAAGAGGUUGUCACUAAAACAUACGAGUUCUUGUUGCAUGUAACUUAUCUUUUCCAGGAUCCAUAAAUUCUACAGCAAAAUAAAACUCAAAGUUUGAGGAAGAAGGAGCUUUUCUCUUCUGAACAAACACUUGAGUGUGUGUGACUAGGUAAUUUAAACCUGUACAGAAUUAAGACUUAAGUUGAGAACAGCUAAAAGAAUAUGGAUAUCUAUUUAGAACCCCUGAAGAAAAGGAGGAAUAGAUCUCUAACUAUAACUGUGUUUCAAAUGCUUUAUUUCUCAUCUGGUUUUAUGAAGACUAUUUCCACAGGGUAAUUUUGUAUCUUUCCAUUAUGAGAUAACUGUUUUUUGUAUUAAAGGGAAAUACGGAACAUAUCCCAUCUAUCUUGGCAUUAGUGAAGCCGUUAAUUUAGUACAAAGUUGAAAUUUUAAAGUUAAAAUGAGGAAGAUUGGGUUUUUAGUAAACAGUGAUAAAGUUGGAAAAGAAGUAGCUGAAAGAGAGGAAUUGGCUUUUUAAAAAGAAAAAAAGGAAAGAGAUUUGUAGUGAAAUUCUUAAAGGUCAGAUCUUAAGAAAGGAUUCAUAUAGUGUAUAGCAGAAAUUAAACUGAAUGGUAUAAUGGUAAGAUCAUUUGUUUUAGCACAGAACCUUAGGUGCAGAAGGCUUGAAAUCAAUUAUGGGACUAUGAGGGUUCAAAAAUGAGGUGUAGCUACUAGAAAAUGAGAGUAGUUUCUGAAUACAUCAGAAAACAUAUGUUUGUGUGCAGGGGAACUGUGGUGCACUGAUGAUUUGUCAUCUACAUUACUAAAUAUAGGUCAGUUCACCCAUAAUCAAGCUAAAAAAUUCAUGAAGAAACUCUAUUAGAAUAAUAUAGGGAAGGAUGCAUGCUUUAUAAAGCAGGGACACCAAAAGAGUUUGGCUUAUUUAAUAAAAUGAAGGAAUAAAAGACAGAAUUGUUCUUUCAGCACUGGUAGAAGUACAAGAGAUGUUCAAACCAACGUACAGUUCUGUGAUGUCUAUAAGUGGGUGUUAAAGUGAACAAUAAUGUAUUUAAAUAAACAAGCAGAAGAGACUUGUUAACAAUGAUAGGAAAGAAGUUUUGGAGCAGUAGACCAUAAAGAGAGGAAAGCAAAAGCAAAUGUAAAGUUUGGUAAUGUAGUGGAAUUUCAAGGUAACAGCCUGAACCAAUGGGUGGGCUAUGUGAGUGUGAGGGUGCCUGGAGCCGGGGGGUGGGAGGGUUUGGAGCCACCCCUUCUGUCUCUGCAAUACUUCCUGUGCAAUCUGAGUCUGCGCAGGUCCCGCUUUUCCCCAGCCCUUCUCUCUGGUGGUGCGACGGUCUGAAAGGAGGAGGGUCACAUUCCUCAGCUCAUCCCUUUCUCCAAACUUACUGGGAGGAGUGAGUUAAUUCCUUUUUGAUAUCUUUUCCUAUAGCGCCUAUUUCUCAAAUAAAGGCUCUGUCAUUGCCUUUGUUUGCUCUACAAGUAAAUAGCCAAUAAAAGGAACAGGCAAAGGCAGAACAUGGAAGUUUAUGAAAUCUUUCAAAUAACGUGGUCAUCUCUAGUAGAAGGGGAUGACCCAGGAAGUUCUGUGUUCAUGAGAGAAAUAGGAGAUAUCAGUGGUGGAUAUCAAAGAAAUAUUUAAGAAAGCCUGAUCACUUGUCUACCAUUUUUCUCCCUAAUACCAGUUUCAUGAACAGAUGAGCUGCAACACUAUUUUUCAGGUGAUACCUGAUAAUCAAUUCUGAUCACCGUGGCACUUUGCUAAUACCACUGCUGUUGCUGUUAAAAGGUUUCUCUUCUCUUUGCUGGACUGUGUAAUCUACUUGUUCACAUAAGUUUCCUUGAAACAUUAACAGCUGUUGCAAACUACCCAAAGCACAACGUAUAGCUAUCUACUGCCUGAGUAUAUCCAAGUAUUUAUGAGUUCGCAUAAUUGCACUGGAAUUUAUUUCUCUUCAGGAACUUGAGAACUUACAGAGCUAUUAAAGAUUUAAUACAGCCGGAAAUAUUGUUAUUGCUUUCUACAGGAGUAAGUGUAUGCAUUUUGUUAUUUGCCUUUUUUUCUUAUAACAAGUAUGUAAAUGAGAAAUAAAUACUGAAAGCUGCACAGCACUAUAUCUCCCACACAAAGGGAAGUCAUUUUAAAAAUAGCUUAUGCUUUGAACAGGAAAAUGGAAAAACACACAGAGUAACAAGGCACUAUGGCUAUUCAGCUUUCUGAUAAAAAGAAAUCCAUCAACGGUUUGCCUUUAACAGUUUGGCUGCACUCUUUUGUAGUAAAAGAUAAAAAUAUCAGUUGUGUUCCAGAGAUUUAGUGGGGGGAAAAAAAAAAAAGUGACUUUACUCUUAUUGUUACAUAGGAAUAUGUUAGGAAAGCUUAUAGCAGGCAGUAACAAUUCAUGUACUGAAAGUCUAAGUUAUUGAUAACCUGAAGAUUUCACCAACUGAAGUUCAAAUAUAUUUUCAGUAACUCAGUGAUAUCUUUGAGUUUGCUUAGACUGUACUUUGGAAGAUUUCAAUAAGUGAGAUUUAAUGUCAGUUUAACAAUGUGCUUAGCACAUGUUGAAUACAUAUACUGAGUAGAUGAACAAAAGGAAUAUUUGUUAUAUAGCAUUAGAAUUUAAAGGAGACCAAACAAAAACAAAGUCUUGAAUAGAAUGGAAAUGGAAGGAAGAAAGAAAUGUAUGUCCUUGACAACAGUUUAUAAGCAGAGGUAUGUAUUUUGUACUUAUUACUCUUUGUUACAGACCACUGGAGUUGGGAAAUAGAUAAUUGUUUACUACAAAAUAACUGCUAAUGUAAUCUGGACUUUCUUAAUGAAAAACACAUUAUACCUCUGACUCUUCAAACUCAGCAAAUUUAUUUAAAGAUUGACUAAUACUGAUUAUUGAGAGCUGCAGAGAAUUCAAAACCAUAUGAGAUCCUUGCUUUAAAGAUUGAUGUUAGAAGAUUUAAAGGUAACAAUCUUGGGGAAUAAAGAAGAAACUUAAUGUUUGCUUUCUUGAUGUUAUUUCACUGUCAAGUUGUAUCUUCAUAAGUAAGCUAGAGAAAUAUAUCUUAAUGAAAGUACUGCAAAGUAUGAGUUUGCUAGGUAAACACAAUUUUCAGAAAGCAACUUAUUUGUUCAUUAUCAGAAAAGAAGGAAGACAGACUAAUAUUUCAAAUGAAAAUUAAUAACUAUUAUUACUUAAUAAGAAACAUUUCAUUGUCCUUGCAGGUGGUAUACUGCUAAAACCACUAGGAGAAUGUGGAAGAAUAAAGAAGAAAGGAUAUAAUUUGAAGAUAAUAAUAAUAAUAAUAAAAAGUUAUAAUAAACUGGAAGAAUGAUGCCUAAAAUAAUCAAUUAAGAAAUAGCCAGAAGUUCGGCGUCCCUCAGGGGCCUGUACUGGGACUGAUGCUACUUAAUACCUACGUCAAUUACGUAGACAGUGGGAUGGAGUGCACCCUCAGCAAGUUUGUGAAUGACACCAAGCUAUGCGGUACAUUUGACAUGCCUGAGGUAUGGGAUACCAUCCAGAGAGACCUAGACAGGUUUGAGCAGUGGGCCUAGGGGAACCCCAUGAGGUUCAACAAAACCAAGUGCAAGGUCUUGCACCUGGGUCGUGGCAACCCCCGCUAUCAAUACAAUUUGGAGGAUUUAAGGAUAGAGCACAGCCCUGCUGAAAAGGACUUACUGGUAGACAACAAGUUGGGCAUGAGCCAGCAGUGUGCCCUCACAGCCCAGAAAGCCAAUCAUAUCCUGGGCUGCAUCAAAAGAAGCAUCACCAGAAGGUCAAGGGAGGUGAUCCUGCUCCUCUACACUGUGCUGGUGAGACCUCACCUGGAGUACUGUGUCCAGAUGUGGAGUCUCUCAGUACAGGAGAUACACAGACCUGUUGGAGUGUGUUCAGAGGAGAGCUACAAAAAUGAUCCAAGGGAUGAAACACUUCCCCUGUGAGGACAGGAUGAGAGAGCUGCGGCUGUUCAGCCUGGAGAAGAGAUGGCUCCAGAAAGACCUGAUUGUGGCUUUUCAAUAUUUAAAGAGGGUUGUAGAAAAGGAGGGGACAGACUUUCAGCAUGGUCUUUUGUGAUAGGAUAAGGGAAAUGGUUUCAAACUAAAGAGGAAGAUUUAGAUUAGAUAUAAGGAAAAAGGUUAUUGCAAUAAGGUUGUAAUACCCCAACCUGCAGUUGGUUGCCUGGAGAGGUGGUGGAUGCCUCCUCCCUGGAGAUAUCCAAGGUCAGGCUGGUCAGGGCUCUGAGCGACCUAUCUAUCCGUCCCUGUUCAUUGCAGGGGAGUUGGACUCGAUUACCUUUAAAGGUCUUUUCUGACACAAACAGUUGAAUGAUUGUAUGAGUGAAAUGAACAGAUUCUUCUCAUAUGUAUGGUUCUCACUAUUUAGCACUUAACAUGAGUUAUGUUUAUUCAUUGAUUUAUUUACUGCUUCAUCGGAAUGAAUACAGAGCUAGGUGGUUACUUAGAUUGUUAGAGAGCUACCAGAGACAGCAUUGAAAAGUAAAACCAUCUCCUAAGCCUCCAUGUGUUUAUCAAAAUUGGUCAUAAAAAGACCAAGAAAGAAGUAGUUAGUAGUUAUAAGUAACAGUGAGGAAAAAUUAAAUUACCUGGUAAUUAUUUUUUAUUUUUAUGCAUUAGUUGACCCUCUGAAGACCUCAUAACUUAGAUAAUGCCUUGUGAUCUCAUUGUUUUAUUCUAAUCUAAUAAUAAUUAAACAGAAAGUUAUUUCCAACUCUAAGGAAAAAUUUCAGCUGUGGAUAAAAUGUUUCCAAACAGAAAAGAAUUUGGAAAGAGAGUGCAAACUCUCUUUUCUUUAUCAUCCUUAAAGGAAAAGGGAAAAUAAUGUAUUUUUAUUUUAUGAAUAGAGGAUCUUCCAUUUAGAAUGCUUGGUUUGUUCUUGAAAAAUGUCUGAAGGAAUAUUAAUGAGAGAAGAAAAAACAAAUACAAAAUAAAUAAAUACCUAUCCCCUUACUGAACAUGAAACCAUUAAAAAAAAAAAAAAAAAACUGUAACGGCCACAAUUCACAUUAUGAUGAUAUCCUGAAAUUGUGUGUGAGAUCUAAAAGAGACCAUAUAGAUUCAGUGCAGUUGAUCUUAGGGUAGUAAGUGGAGAUUUUGUAUCUCUCAGAAGGUAUGGUUAUCCUUAAAGCACUGCUUAAAGAGUUAGAGGUUUUUUUUCCUGUUGGAAACUCUUUGCAAUAUUUCAAAUGAAAUCUUUCUUUUAAACAUUACAGUCACCUAGAAAGAAAGGAUAGAACCAUUUUGUUUCAUGUUGGCCUAGUAGUCUGUGGAUUUAUGGGCGUGUUUAAACUCUGCUCUAGUGAGACAAUAUGUCACAAAUAUUGUAUUAUUUUGUUAUUUUCUGACCAUCAACCUGAUGCUUGCUACUAUCCAAUGCCCUUCAGCCUGUACUCUGUAUGCAGGUUGAAAUAAGCCUGUACUUAUUUUGUGACAUAUUCGAAAAGAAUAGUAAAACAUUUAUAAGAAAAUCUAGACAUUUGCUCUUACACAAAGAAAAAAUGUUAGUUUGGGUGAAAAGACACCACAGCAUUUUAGGAAUUCCUUUUGAAGAAACCAUAUUUUGGAGAACUUUUGUCUAUGACUGCAACAUAUUACUGCACAUACUGCAGCAAAGUGCAAGCUGUGUGUCUGCAGUUUAAUCAUCUUUAAAGUGAUGAAGAGCAGGAAUUUUAUUUUCAGAGGGGAAAGAUGAGAAACAAAUCUAUCAAAAUUUGUUCCGUGAAUUCAGAGCGCAUGGGGAUUUAUUUUCAAAACAGAAACUGGUUUGUUUCUGAGAAGCAAAUUCUAUUAUUGUUUAACAGGAUUUGGGGGCAGAAUUGUCAUAAACUGACUGAACACUUACUCUGCAGGAGUUUUUUUAGCUGAGGAAAAAGGUUGGCAAAACAAUUUGUUUCUGUGGAUUUUUUUAGUGAAUUCAGCACGUGCCCCAGAAAAGGGCAUUUAUCUCAUUUUGAAAGCCACUUUCAUAUUCUUUCCCUAACUUGCUUACUGUUAGCUAAAACACUAAAUUAGAAAGAGUUAUUUCAAGUCCAACCCAAGGCUUAAUUUUACUUUUGGGGAAGAAAGUUGGAUUCCUAAAAUCAGUGGGGAAAAAAGAAAGAACAGUAAUUUCUGCGGAGGAACAGCAAUAAAUACGUGCACACUUUUUUUUGCCUGUGUAUGAAGUGUAAGGCACAACAGAAUGAUUUAAACUUGCAUUCACCCAGAAUGAUUUUUUUUUUCCCCUUCUAUAUCGUACUCUUGUUCUGAAACCUCACAUCUUAUCCAGGGUUUAAUAUAUCUUAGGGUGCAUUAAUUUAAUAAUUUUAGAAUGCUUUCAAAACUCUAAGGCUUAUUAUUUUAUUACCAGGAGUUUGUAACUUAGGCAGAAUACUGAAUAAAUUUUGUCAACCUUUCGUGCUUACUUUCUGGAGAAAAGGGGAAAAGGAUUAUUGAGACCUAGGGAUGGUCCGUGCCUGAGAAAGGAACUCUGUAAUCAGGUGUGGGGCCAGGAAUUGGACUCUGAUCCUUCUGGGUCCCUUCCAAAUUGUCAUAUUCUAUGAUUCUGUGAUUCUGUGCUUAGCCCAUACGUGACUAUCUCACCUAGGCUGCUGCUUUGAUGUGAUGGAAACACUCCUUGCAUCUUUAGCAGAAGGGGCCUUCCUAAUACAAAACAGUUACAAAGAGAUAGAAAAUCCCAAAGGAGUUCUUAGAGAGCAGCACAGCUCACUGAAUUAUCUCUGUGUUUUCUAUUUUAAACGUUGUGUUUCUUUUUUAAUUAUACAUUGAACUUCUGGCUGUUCCUGGAUAAUUUUCAUCACAGAAGGUUUGGAAGCGUGCAAAAUUUAGGGAUGAGGAUUUUGAACUAUGUGUGGAAUGCUUCCUCUUUCAGUGUUUUUGAUCAAGAGCUCAACUUCUUUUUUUGUGUACAGUAUUUUACAAAAAACAAGUCAUUUGAUGCUGGGCACUCAAAUGGACAAAUACAGGCUGGCAAAAUACCUCAGAAAAAUGAAUGGGAUAUUUCACUGUCCCUCAGGCCUUUCAAUAUUCAUAUUCUUCACAGUAUUUUCAGUGCAAUUGUUAUUGCUUCGCUAAAGCAAACUGCCUUUCCCAUAGAAAUAGUUAUUCAUUUGGCUGUUCAUCAUUUCAGAACAGGGACUGUGUUCUUUCCAAAUGCACGUAAAAGCUUCUGAAAUAUAUGAGAGAAGUUCUAAUCUCAUCCACUUUCUAACCAGAAAGACUAUGUGGAUGGAAAGUUUUAGGAUGCAUUUUCAGCAGUUUUGAACAAAACUAACAGGGUUUGGCAGAGUUCCUUGCUUAUGAAUAGAGAAAGAUUUGCAGAACUAGGUAACUACUUAAACUUGGAAACACAGCAAGCACGGAAAACAAACCAGCAAACACAACCAACAAACAUUCCAAAGACAUUUGUUUUUUGGAAUAUGUUUGCUAAGUUUUGGAUGAGAAAUUUUUUAAUGGUCUUGUUACGUUGGUAACUGUGGUCAGACAGGUGACAAAUUUUCAGACAACACCUAUAGGUUUCUGAGAGGAGUUUGAUGAUGUGAUGGCCUUGUGGCCUCCCAAGGAACAACCUCGAACACUCCAUCAUCCUCCUGUCUUGAUUCUGAACACCUGUCCAACAUUAACACAUAUUCUUCGCAGAGAGAGAAUAAAGAAGAGAAAAAUAUAAACAUCUAAAUGAAGAAAUAAAUGAGUGGAUGUAUUAACUAAAUAAGGGAUUUAAUUGGAUUGCUUUUGUCCUGUGAGCUUAUAAUUAGCAGAUUUUUAUUUAUGGCAGAAAGACCUAUCCUUAGCAUAUAUGCAGAGCUAUAAGAUAGGUAGAGCUCAGGGCAUUUUUAAUAGAUUCUCACUUUAUAAUUUGCAGGAGACAAAAAUCUUUACGCCAGACUCUGCUCUCAGUUACAAGAGCACACUGGAAUGCACCUUUAAUGUGUCUUGUCAGUUUUAUUUUCCCUUAACCCUUGUAUUUGCACAUUUGGAAAGAUUUUAUGACAAAACGGUCCCUGGCAAUUUUGAGUGUGGUUAAAUAUUACUUUUUAUAAUAUAAAGUGGAAGCAUAAAAUAAUCCCUUAGAGGCUGCAAUCUAUUUCUUCUUAAGUGUUUCCUUGCUUAGCAUGGGGCCAGAAGUUUAUCACCAUUACUUUGCCUACAAAUGAACUGUAGACGUUUAGAGAAAUAUAUUUAAUAUAUUUUAAAUAGGUAAAGAAUGUAAUGAAAUUUAUUCUGCAACAAACAGUUCUUCCCUGAGAAAAAAAAAAAAAAAAAAAGAGAUGGUUUCCAUAUUUGUGUGUAAGAAAAGGAAUUUGUUUGUGAUCUGUUAACCUUGCCAUCUUGUCUUUAAAUAUUUGUUCUCAUCAAAUCCUUGUCAUGUCAUGAUGUCAAAGGAGGGAAAAUGUCUAGAGAAAAGCUUUCAUCUUCGAACAAGUAGGUGGAAGACUGUGAAAUGUCACCCUGACUUUGACUUUGUUUGUUUAUUGCUUAUUUCUGUUGAUUCUAGUGCAUUCAGCAGGAGAUCUGUUAGAACUCACAACCCCUUAGCUACCAGUAAUAGCUUUGGAUAAGGCAUCGAAUACUGCAGCUGACCUAGAAUCUUGCUUCUCUUAACAAAAAUGUUAAAAUGUCUCUAUCCAAAUGUGCUUUAUUCUGCCUCUUAUUUUGGCACUGUGCUUCUCUUAAGCCUAAUUAUCUCUAUAUAAUUUUGAAAGCAUUGAAGUGACAAUUUUAUGCCAUUUUCUAUUUUGGACACUGAUAAACUAUGAGAAAAAAAUUUAAAAAAAAGAAAAAAGAAAAAAAAAAAAAGAAGAAUAGAUGAAUUAGGUCAGGCUGACCUAAUCUUUUAACUCUAAUGUCAUCUACAGUGCAGCUCAGACUGUAGUUCCAAUUGUGUUUCUUGAUAAUAUGAUGUCAUUUAGAAGUGUAUGAGAAAGGUUUUACCACUGACUAUUAAGUUGUCUGUAUUGAAGACAAAAGCACAUGUUUAAAACACCGCCAGAGGUAAACUGCAGGGAGAAUAAAGUGCAAAAACCUGUUGCUUUGAUAUUGUUACAUUAUCUAGACCAUGGUAAUGGAAAGAGGAUUAGCUGGGAAGGUAAUCUGAGUUACUGGAGGAACCAAGUCUCAAUACCAGCCUGAUGACACUCCUUUGGAAGAUGCUUUAAAGACAAACUAAAAUCCAUCCAUAAGCAGAGAAUCAAAUUUAUAAUUCUUAGUGUGCUUUAUUGAUAUUGCUGAGACUGAAAUGAUGUAUUUAGCUAUUUAAAUCUCUUAUUUCAAUGAUGAGAAUACUCUUCUGUCUAGAUAAUUUAAAGAAAUCAAUUUUCCUUAAAAUUAUGUUUUUGUUCAUAAUACAAUGUAUCUUCUGUACUGGAAAAAAUCGUGAGAAAUUUUAAGGCAGUUUUCAGAGAAAGACAAGAAAAAUAAACAAAAAAAGUGCUUGAGGUCAAGUGCAAAGAAGUUGUCAGUGGAUAGACUUCUUCUUAAUCUGAUAGUAUCUGGAACAGAAACAAGAUUGCAACAGUUAGGUUUCAGAAGGGAAAGUGUCACGACUGUUUGGCGAAUUCCAGUAAUUGCUUGUUUAAUUUGCUAUUAUUCACUUGACAUUUCAUGCAUCUGAUUUCCCAAUAUCUAAAAUCCAUAUAAUAAAUCCUCACUGUUGUGAAGUGUAUCAAAAACUAAAUAUAAACAGGUUAUCCACUCCCUUUGUGUUACGAGAGCUCAUUUUCCCUGUAGGUUUGCCUUCAUAUAUAGUAUUACUAGAAUCAGGCCCCUGCAUGGAACAUUUGGUUGCUACUUCAUAUGCUAAGUAAAUGUUCUGAGCUGUUUGUUUAGGAGAAACUGUGACCAGUUGUUUUAGGCCAUCAAGCCGCUUAAUUUGACUAGAAAUUUCAAUAACUGUUUCAUUGGAAAUCUGAUAGAAAGAAUUGUAUCAAAAUCUAUGAGUCUAAUUUAGGUUUUGCUAUGCUCUGAUUUGAUGUGGAAUGCUUUUGUGUGUAGAAAACAGAUAAGCUUCAUUUUAAGACGACCUUAAGGAAGGUUAUGCUAUGCUCUAGAAAUAUAAUUAGAUUUAUUUAGCUUAAUGUAUUUUCUAGUUUUGAUUUCUACAAAUAACUGAUAAACUGAAUAGGCACAAGGUGUUUUUAUUCUGAAAUGAACUGUAGCCAUCUAGUUUUUCCAAAGGCUGCUAUUGCACUUAACAUUCACGUUCUUAUCUUACCCCAAACCAUCAUUAAAUGAAAGAAAAUACUUUAUUUUGGUGUACUUGCCAUUGUCUUGAAAUUAGUUUAAAAUGGACAAAUUAAACUUCAUUUGAAUGUUAGAUAAAGGAUUUUGCUGACUCCUAUGUUUGAUGGUUGGGUUUCCCCAGGCCCAGUGACUAAUGGACACAAUGUCAAAGAAGCAGAAGCCCCUGAAGUACCAGUGAGCUUUUAAUGUUCAUUCAUAAUGGCACUGAUUGGCACAAAGGGAAAAUUAAUAAAACUAGUGUAUAGUCAAGGGAAACCACAUCUAAUAUUUUCUAAUGUUCCUGCCUUUACUCAUUAAACCUCUCUCUGACCCUUAAGAGGCUCACACCACCUCUGAUGCAAGAGCUUUUUUCUGUGUAAUGCUUACAAUCUGAGAGAGCCUUGCUAUAUUUCUCUGCCUCAUCGACAAUUUCUCUUUUUAAAAAUUGUCAUGGAAAAAAGGUGAACAUUUUCCCCCUAAGCAGAUUCAUUCCUCUCUCAUGCCCCUUUCUCGUCUCUGUAGAUAAAAACUGCUACAUUAAAUAAAAAUAUACUGUAAGCAAAGCAUAGUAAACAAAUGCAAUUCAGGGUAAAACUGAAUGCCCACUAAUCAUUUUUCUCUGCUUAUUUUUCUUUGACAGUAUUCCUAAUAGGGAUUUCAAUGAAAAAUACUCAUCAGUUUCCUAAAGUUCCCAGAUGGAAUUUAAAUGUAGCAGUGGAUUCAUGUUUUCGUUCGGGCUAUCUGGGAGCAGAAGACGGAAAGACAGCUAUACCAAAGACUUCUGAAAAACUGGCUUUGGAUCUAUUGUUUAUUGAUGACUCACAACUCUCACCUCCCUCUACAGGGACAUCCUCCAAGUCAUUUUGGACUAAUUUUCAGCAUUUUUUUCAAUAGUUAUAGUCUUUUCUGUAACUUUAUACAGAACUUGAGAACUGGCAGGGACCAGCUCUGGUAAUCCUUAUGUAUUACUGAAUAUCACCACUGAGGAACAUUGUCAUCUACAGUAGAUGAGAUAAUCCUAGCAAACACCAUGUUGCAAGGUGCUAAUUGACAUAAUAAACAACAGAAUAUAUCUGUCAAGCUGUGUUUCUGGGUAAAUGGGAGCUAAUUAAAUUAGCAAUAAAGCAUAAGGCCUGUAAAACUUCAUGUUCUUUUUAUGCUUGUUGUAGUUGGUUCUCUUAGAGUUAUUGCCUUAAGCAAAGAUAAUCACUUUCAUACAUGUUUCUCUAACAGAUAACAAAAUGAAAGUGGUGAUGUAACCAUCAGUCACUGAAUAGUGCUGAAAAAGACAGUGGUUUAAAGAAUCUGGUCUCCCAGAGUUGAAUUGGCCUUCUAGAUCAAAAGGUAGUGCCAGACUACUGAACUGUUUUAUACUAGUUGAGUACAUGAAAUAGGUAGCAGUAUUUACUUCUGAUAUUGUUAAGAUAUGUUCUGAGUGAAUCUUUGAAUGCAGUUGUAUUCUCUCCUGCAAACUGAAUAAGAUUUACCAGGAAAUUCAAAGUACAUUUUUUAUGAGAUAGAUGGAUAUAGUGGAGAAAUAUAUACUGGGGAAUUUAAAAGGAAUUAAAUGUAUUUAUUUCUGGCAUUUUUCUUUCUGCUUCUCUAAUAUUUUUUUUUUUCUGUACAGCAAAAAUAUUUUUUUUACUCCUACUUACUUUCUGCUCAGCAGCAAAAAGAACAAUUAUAUAAUUAAAAUAAUAGAGAAAAGCUAAAGUAAAACUUGACUUGCAUAUUUUUACUGAGUUCCUUCAAUCUUUUUACCUAUAACAGCGAAAAGCUAAUGUCCUCGAGAACAGCAUAUCAUUUCCUCAGUUAUAUUAUUUCCCAAAUCGCUACAUGUAAAUUUUUUCAUGGUAAUAAGUAGGAAGAUGUGUUUAAUAUUUAUUAAAAAGUCAUCAGUGAUGGCCCAUUACAUGUUCUCUUACACAAAAGUGUGACACUUUUCCUCUUUUAAAAAAGAGUGGCUCUUCUAUAAUGCUUUUCAGAAAAAAAUGACAGGACUACAUCCAGAACGUUUUCAGAGUAGGUGUAUAAAACAGUGGAAUUCUAUCACUACCUAAGAGAUUAGAAGAGUAUAAUAUUAAUAUAUAUUUCAGAUAUGUUUAAAUUAAGAAAAUGAAUCCCCAUCCAAGCCAUGAAGAAAUACUAACUCCUUACUGUAUGAAUCCUUCUUUGCUUUUUGGCUCAAAGCUUGUUUUCUGAGGCAUUUCUUGCGAUAAGACUCUGACUUAGAUGAGAGGUGGGUGUUGCCAUGUGGCAAUCAACAUCACUGUGUGGACAAUUUUACAUUUGAAAGCAUUUCUUUAGACCUGUUUGCCUCCAGAAGAGUGUGCUCAAGAGUGUUUACUGGUGAAAGAUCUGGCCUGUGACUAAAUAGCCCCAGCUUGGUAUGGGAAAACUGGGGAAUGAUACCAUCGUGUCCUGUGAAAAACAGGAUGUAGGUGAGCAUCCCUGCUCCCUCUUAUCUGCUGGCAAGGCCCGGAAGAUGGGAACAAAGAAGACUCUGCUGAGAUCCCAGAGCCAGAAGCUGCUACUCCAAGGAGAGCUGACUCAAGCACUUUGGAUUCGAGUUGUCACUUCAAAGAGAGCUGACUUGACCACUUUGGACUUAUAAAUAAGUUUGUACGGCCAUUGGAAAUUGUUGCUGUGGUCACUGUCAUCAUCAACAGAACAAUGCCUGAUGACUUGCCACUACUGAAGAUCAAUGACUGAACUACAAACCACGUUGGACCCAUGGUGGUGACUAUCUCCCUCUUGCUUCCUAUAAAGACACCUUGCUUCUAUUUCCUAUCUCUUCUAUCUCCCUUGUUCCCUUCCCCUUCUCCCUGAACAACUAGUAUUUGUAAUAAACUGGUCAGACCAACAUUUGAACCAUUGUUUCUUAAUCUCAUGCCGGGUAUGCAUAUAUCAAAGAACCGCCUCUCCCUCUGAUAAAUCAGAGCGAGACAUUUACUAGAUAGUGAAGUCAUAAGGGAAUGAAUGCUUCUCUUCCCAUGUUGACGGUUUAUGGGCUGGUCCGGCCCGGUUCCAUGACUAGUGGAGUGGAGGGAUUUUUUUUCAAAAUCCGUGCCUCCAGAAAAGGGAAACAGGGGACCCCCCCCCAAAAAAAAGAAUAAUUAAAAAAACAGCGGCAACGAUCUGAGGAGAAACAAACUAAUUUACUAACUAUAGUAUCAGAAUGCACAAUAACACACUAUAAUACAAUAUAAUUCAAUAUAAUUGUUAAUAAAAUCAAAUAUGAUUGAGAGAAGGAUUGUCUGAGAGCUAAAGGCCUUACACUAAUACUGAAGCCUUGCAUGCAGUCGGGAGCAGCAGCAAGACGAUCCGAAAGUGAGCACGACGAGACGAGAAGAAGACUCGAGUCGGGUGACCUAUAGGCCUUAUAUCUGUUCCCCUGAGCAGGAAUGAUAACAGUACUCGAACAGACUUCUGAGGAACGUAGUUCUUCUUCUCUUCCAGACAAGUACCUGGAACUAGAGCAUUUGCUCUUUAACUCCCAGUACACUGCAUGAUGUUAUGAUGUGGAAUACUGAUAACCAAAAAUCAUAAAACCAUGACAUCCCAAGAACAUUUCUACCUUGUGCUAUUUUUUAUGUUUUUAUAACAUGAAAAGUGCUGUGACUUGGAUAUGACCGUGUGUGUACACUGAAAUUUCAAUGG
ensembl:lncRNA